rnacentral:rRNA from 1 species
GGAUUAGUAGUCUGGUCGUGCCACUGGUAUGUACUGGUCUUACUGAUUUCUCCUUCUUGAAGAACCGUAAUGUCAUUAAUUUGUUGUUGCGGGGAAUCUGGACUGUUACCUUGAGAAAAUUAGAGUGUUCAAAGCAGGCAAUACGCCCGAAUACAUUAGCAUGGAAUAACGAAAUAGGACGCGCGGUUCUAUUUUGUUGGUUUCUAGAGUCGCCGUA